UGCGUAGAUAUAUGGAAGAACACCAGUGGCGAAGGCGGCUGUCUGGUCUGUAACUGACGCUGAGGCUCGAAAGUAUGGGUAGCAAACAGGAUUAGAUACCCUGGUAGUCCAUACCGUAAACGAUGAAUGCUAAGUGUUGGAGGGUUUCCCCCUUCAGUGCUGCAGCUAACGCAUUAAGCAUUCCGCCUGGGGAGUACGGCCGCAAGGCUGAAACUCAAAGGAAUUGACGGGGGCCCGCACAAGCGGUGGAGCAUGUGGUUUAAUUCGAAGCUACGCGAAGAACCUUACCAGGUCUUGACAUACUAUGCAAAUCUAAGAGAUUAGACGUUCCCUUCGGGGACAUGGAUACAGGUGGUGCAUGGUUGUCGUCAGCUCGUGUCGUGAGAUGUUGGGUUAAGUCCCGCAACGAGCGCAACCCUUAUUAUCAGUUGCCAGCAUUAAGUUGGGCACUCUGGUGAGACUGCCGGUGACAAACCGGAGGAAGGUGGGGAUGACGUCAAAUCAUCAUGCCCCUUAUGACCUGGGCUACACACGUGCUACAAUGGAUGGUACAACGAGUUGCGAACUCGCGAGAGUAAGCUAAUCUCUUAAAGCCAUUCUCAGUUCGGAUUGUAGGCUGCAACUCGCCUACAUGAAGUCGGAAUCGCUAGUAAUCGCGGAUCAGCAUGCCGCG
rnacentral:rRNA from 1 species